GUAGUUUAAAAACCUUAAGAGGAAGUCUGAAAGGGAAAUCCCGAAAAAAACAAUAUCCGCUAACGGCUGUUACAUUUAUACUUGUGAUUUCUUAUAUCUAUGCACAGAAUGUGGAACUACUGAUAAAGCCAUUGAAACUGCCCCCUAUUUUGUCAAGGACAAUAAUUGACGAGUUUGCUGCUGUUGGAGUACUUCAGGGUUGCUUGGAUUAUCUUAACAGAAGACAGGAAUUGGAAGCGAGGUAAAGCGAAUAAGAUGAACUGUACAGGAUAAGGUACUGAUUUGUCAAUGAAGUUGCUUUCUUUGAAAAUUGAAAUUUCGAAAUCUUGCUGAAAUGUCAAUAAAAACUUCUGUACUCUUAGAAAUUUCAGAAUAAUAUAAAAAAUUAAUCUUUGAAUUUA